rnacentral:other from 1 species
AGUAUUCUGGUUCAUUCGUUAAUAUGUAAGUUAUUUUUGAACCUAUAAUUAAACUGAAGGUGAUUUUCCUCUGUUAAUGUUGUGCAUUAUCUACAAAGAGAAGCCUGAUUUAACAUGAUAUUCACCACCUGGACAUCGGGUUCAGGGAUUACAUAUGACGGUGAAUUGGUUCAUGC